CCAUGUCAGAACGGGGGAACCUGUAACCCUUCUUCGGAACCAAGUCUUCCCUUCACAUGUAACUGCCAAGUUGGGUACACAGGCCAGCUGUGUCAAUCAGAUCUAUGCGCUGAUAACCAGUGUCAGAACGGAGGAUUUUGCAUUCCUUUCCCAGGUUCCAGCCCUCCAUACUUCUGUAACUGUCCAGGAGGGUAUAACGGUCAAUUCUGUCAAACAGCUUUAGAUCCAUGUGCCAGUAGCCCAUGUCAGAACGGGGGAACCUGUAAUUCUCCGGGACCAAGUCUUCCCUUCACCUGUAACUGCCCAGUCGGAUACACAGGCCAGCUGUGUCAAUCAGGUCGGAUAUCUCAAUCACUUGAAUUCAGGUCAAUCAGAGA